GGGAGCAAACAGGAUUAGAUACCCUGGUAGUCCACGCCUUAAACGAUGCGAACUGGAGGUUGGGUGCAACUUGGCACGCAGUCUUGAAGCUAACGCGUUAAGUUCGCCGCCUGGGGAGUACGGUCGCAAGACUGAAACUCAAAGGAAUUGACGGGGGCCCGCACAAGCGGUGGAGUAUGUGGUUUAAUUCGAUGCAACGCGCAGAACCUUACCUGGCCUUGACAUGUCCGGAAUCCUGCAGAGAUGCGGGAGUGCCUUCGGGAAUCGGAACACAGGUGCUGCAUGGCUGUCGUCAGCUCGUGUCGUGAGAUGUUGGGUUAAGUCCCGCAACGAGCGCAACCCUUGUCCCUAGUUGCCAGCACGUAAAGGUGGGAACUCUAGGGAGACUGCCGGUGACAAACCGGAGGAAGGUGGGGAUGACGUCAAGUCAUCAUGGCCUUUAUGCCUAGGGCCACACACGUGCAACAAUGGCCGGUACAGACGGAGGCAAUGCCGAGAGGCGGAGCAAACCCGAGAAAACCGGUCCCAGUUCGGAUUGAGGUCUGCAACUCGACCUCAUGAAGUCGGAAUCGCUAGUAAUCGCAUAUCAGAACGAUGCGGUGAAUACGUUCCCGGGCCUUGUACACACCGCCCGUCACACCACGAAAGUUUGUUGUACCCGAAGUCGGUGCCUUAACCUCGCAAGAGGAGAGAGCCGCCCAAGGUAUGGCCGAUGAUUGGGGUGAAGUCGUAACAAGGUAACCGUA
rnacentral:rRNA from 1 species